GACGAACGCUGGCGGCGUGCUUAACACAUGCAAGUCGAACGGAAAGGCCCUGCUUGCGGGGUGCUCGAGAGGCGAACGGGUGAGUAACACGUGGGUGUUCUGCCCCUUACUUUGGGAUAAGCCUGGGAAACUGGGUCUAAUACUGGAUAGGACCAUGCUGUCGGCGGUGUGGUGGUAGGAUUAGUUUCGGUAAGGGAUGAGCUCGCGGCCUAUCAGCUUGUUGGUGGGGUAAUGGCCUACCAAGGCGUCGACGGGUGGCCGGCCUGAGAGGGUGGACGGCCACACUGUGACUGAGAGACAGCGCAGACUCCUACGGGGGGGAGCAGUGGGGAAUAUUGCACAAUGGGCGCGAGCGUGAGGCAGCGACGCCGCGUGGGGGAUGACGGCCUUCGGGUUGUAAACUCCGUUCAGCCAUGACAAAGCCUUCGGGUGACGGUAGUGGUAGAAGAAGCACCGGCUAACUACGUG
rnacentral:rRNA from 1 species